GACGAACGCUGGCGGCGUGCUUAACACAUGCAAGUCGAACGACGUGGCGAACGGGUGAGUAACGCGUAAUCCACCUGCCCUUCAGAGGGGGACAACAGUUGGAAACGAAUGCUCAUACCGCAUACUGAAGGAGGGGUUUGCGUCUGAUUAGCUAGUUGGAGGGGUAACGGCCGACCAAGGCGAUGCUCAGUAGCCGGGCGGAGAGGAGGAACGGCAACAUUGGGACGGAGACACGGCCCAGACUCCUACGGGAGGCAGCAGUGGGGAAUCUUCCGCAAUGGACGAAAGUCUGACGGAGCAACGCCGCGGGAGUGAUGACGGCCUUCGGGUUGUAAAGCUCUGUUAAUCGGGACGCGGUACCGGAAUAGAAAGCCACGGCUAACUACGUGCCAGCAGCCGCGGUAAUAC
rnacentral:rRNA from 1 species